rfam:Ruminococcus sp. SR1/5 draft genome.
GGGAUCUUAGCUCAGCUGGGAGAGCAUCUGCCUUACAAGCAGAGGGUCAUAGGUUCGAGCCCUAUAGGUCCCA